GAUGAAGAACGUAGCGAAAUGCGAUAAGUAAUGUGAAUUGCAGAAUUCCGUGAAUCAUCGAAUCUUUGAACGCACAUUGCGCCCCCUGGUAUUCCGGGGGGCAUGCCUGUCCGAGCGUCAUUACAACCCUCAAGCUCAGCUUGGUGUUGGGCCCCGCCGCCCCGGCGGGCCCUAAAGUCAGUGGCGGUGCCGUCCGGCUCCGAGCGUAGUAAUUCUUCUCGCUCUGGAGGCCCGGUCGUGUGCUCGCCAGCAACCCCCAAUUUUUUUCAGGUUGACCUCGGAUCAGGUAGGGAUACCCGCUGAACUUAAGCAUAUCAAUAAGCGGAGGA
rnacentral:misc_RNA from 1 species